rnacentral:rRNA from 1 species
GCCGCCGUUAUCCGGUGGUGGGACAAUGCCAGGCGGGGAGUUUGACUGGGGCGGUCGCCUCCGAAAGGGUAUCGGAGGCGCUCAAAGGUUCCCUCAGAAUGGUCGGAAACCAUUUGAAGAGUGCAAAGGCAGAAGGGAGCUUGACUGCGACACCGACGGGUGGAGCAGGUACGAAAGUAGGACUUAGUGAUCCGGUGGUAUAAAGUGGGAUUGCCAUCGCUCAACGGAUAAAAGCUACCCUGGGGAUAACAGGCUUAUCACUCCCAAGAGUUCACAUCGACGGAGUGGUUUGGCACCUCGAUGUCGGCUCAUCGCAUCCUGGGGCUGUAGCAGGUCCCAAGGGUUGGGCUGUUCGCCCAUUAAAGCGGUACGCGAGCUGGGUUCAGAACGUCGUGAGACAGUUCGGUCCCUAUCCGGCGCGGGCGGAGGAUAUUUGAGAGGAGCUGCCCCUAGUACGAGAGGACCGGGGUGGACGGACCACUGGUGUAUCAGCUGUCGACCAACGGCAUAGCUGAGUAGCCAAGUCUGGACGGGAUAAACGCUGAAGGCAUCUAAGCGUGAAGCCCCCCUCAAGAUGAGAUAUCCCCUCCUUCAAGGAGAUAAGAUCCCUUAAAGACGAUAAGGUAGAUAGGUUCAAGGUGUAAGUGUGGUAACACAUUCAGCUGAUGAAUACUAAUAGAUCGAAGGUUUAUUCUAAA